rnacentral:rRNA from 1 species
CACGUAGGGGCCAAGCGUUGUCCGGAUUUAUUGGGCGUAAAGAGCUCGUAGGCGGUUCGACAAGUCGGGUGUGAAAACUCCGGGCUCAACCCGGAGACGCCACCCGAUACUGUCGUGACUGGAGUCCGGUAGGGGAGUGGGGAAUUCCUGGUGUAGCGGUGAAAUGCGUAGAUAUCGGGAGGAACACCAGUGGCGAAGGCGACUACCUGGCCCAUUCUUGACGCUGAGGCGCGAAAGCUAGGGGAGCGAACGGGG